rnacentral:lncRNA from 1 species
UUAAUAUGUAUCUGAUACAUACAAACAAAAGGUGUUGGGUAGAAUGUGGCUAUUCCGCUAAUAAUUCUUGUUUUGUUUGUAGUUGUGCCUUUACGAGCAGUAGCUGUACCGUUACUAGCCUACGCAAUCGAAGCAAGAACUGUAGUUAUGGCAACAAGUAUCAUAAUUCGUGAAUUUAUUUCCAUCUCCAAUUUCAAAAUACCAAAUGCUUCAAAGUACCAAGUUAAUUUUUUAUUAAAGCUUAAAAGUUCCCUAUUUGUAAGAGCAUCUCCAAGGGAGAUGUCAAAUAUCAAACAUCAAAUUUAA